AAUCCCCGGGCUCAACCUGGGAACUGCAUUCGAAACUGGCAGGCUAGAGUCUUGUAGAGGGGGGUAGAAUUCCAGGUGUAGCGGUGAAAUGCGUAGAGAUCUGGAGGAAUACCGGUGGCGAAGGCGGCCCCCUGGACAAAGACUGACGCUCAGGUGCGAAAGCGUGGGGAGCAAACAGGAUUAGAUACCCUGGUAGUCCACGCCGUAAACGAUGUCGAUUUGGAGGUUGUGCCCUUGAGGCGUGGCUUCCGGAGCUAACGCGUUAAAUCGACCGCCUGGGGAGUACGGCCGCAAGGUUAAAACUCAAAUGAAUUGACGGGGGCCCGCACAAGCGGUGGAGCAUGUGGUUUAAUUCGAUGCAACGCGAAGAACCUUACCUGGUCUUGACAUCCACAGAACUUUCCAGAGAUGGAUUGGUGCCUUCGGGAACUGUGAGACAGGUGCUGCAUGGCUGUCGUCAGCUCGUGUUGUGAAAUGUUGGGUUAAGUCCCGCAACGAGCGCAACCCU
rnacentral:rRNA from 1 species